rnacentral:lncRNA from 1 species
AGUCUUCUCCUAGCGGCCUUCAGAUGAAGAUGUAGAACUCUCAGCUUCUCCUGCACCAUGCCUGCCUGGAUGCUGCCAUGUUCCUGCCUUGAUGAUAAUGGCCUGAACCUCUGAACCUGAAGUUCCUCUGAAGUGGAUUAACAAACUGGUUAUCAUCAAAGGCCUUCUCUGAAGGAAGAAAUGCCCAUACUAAACAUAGCAGUACUGGAUUCACCUCCAUUGUACAUGUUGAAAAACUAGCAAUCACCAUGUAGUCGGAUCCCGCGGCUCCUGGCUUCCUAAUUGGCUUCUGCAACUGGCUUCUGAUCUACUCCACAGCUCAAAGAGGUGCUCACUUAGACCUCCAAAACACUUUGCUGAGGAAAUUGAUUCUCUACCUACCGAGUUCCUACAAAGCUCCUCCGAGCUUUGGGUUCUCUAACAUACACUGUCAAUCUCUCACAUUGGGAAGAGAAUGUGCCAUAAAUUCACCUAACCACGGGCCUCCAUUUCUCAGCGCAUCCUAUGCAACUGAGUUCGGAAAUAUCACUAAAGCUGACAUAAGCCAUAUAUUUUUUUAAAAGUCUUUCCAUUCUUCAGUGUCUUUCUCUAAGGCUCAUUUUAUUUUUAGAAUCAGGUGUCACCUCCUCAAACAACAGAUAAGUCUACAUGACAUUUCAGCACAACAUCUGAUUUUUCCCUAUAAAGAUCUUCCAGGGGAAACUAACUUGAAAAUAUGUCCCAAACAUCUGGAUGAAGCAGGAGGGCAUUGCUCAGCACUGUUAAGCAAUGUGCAUAUUAUUAGCAAAAUAUGAGUGUCUCCGGCAUAGCUGAUACUAGGCAUCUUCUUUAGAUGAAGUGAUAAAAGACACAGUAUCAUGAGGAGGAGGAGGAGGUGAACAUUUGCUGUCUUGAGCCCAAAGUGAAAUGUUUCCUAUAAAAGUCUAUCGGGGUCAUUCAAGCUAUAAAGAUAAGAGCUAUAAUAAUAAAAUGAAUU